rnacentral:rRNA from 1 species
GACGAACGCUGGCGGCGUGCUUAACACAUGCGAGUCGAACGGAAAGGCCCUGCUUUUGUGGGGUGCUCGAGUGGCGAACGGGUGAGUAACACGUGAGUAACCUGCCCUUGACUUUGGGAUAACUUCAGGAAACUGGGGCUAAUACCGGAUAGGAGCUCCUGCUGCACGGUGGGGGUUGGAAAGUUUCGGCGGUUGGGGAUGGACUCGCGGCUUAUCAGCUUGUUGGUGAGGUAGUGGCUUACCAAGGCUUUGACGGGUAGCCGGCCUGGGAGGGUGACCGGCCACAUUGGGACUGAGAGACGGCCCAGACGCCUACGUGACGCAGCAGUGGGGAAUAUUGCGGAAUGGGCGGAAGCCUGAUGCAGCAACGCCGCGUGCGGGAUGACGGCCUUCGGGUUGUAAACCGCUUUCGCCGGUGACGAAGCGUGAGUGACGGUAAUGGGUAAAGAAGCACCGGCUAACUACGUG